UACGUAGGGUGCAAGCGUUGUCCGGAAUUAUUGGGCGUAAAGAGCUCGUAGGCGGCUUGUCGCGUCGGUUGUGAAAGCCCGGGGCUUAACCCCGGGUCUGCAGUCGAUACGGGCAGGCUAGAGUUCGGUAGGGGAGAUCGGAAUUCCUGGUGUAGCGGUGAAAUGCGCAGAUAUCAGGAGGAACACCGGUGGCGAAGGCGGCCCCCUGGACCGGUACUGACGCUGAGGCGCGGAAGCGUGGGUAGCAAACGGG
rnacentral:rRNA from 1 species